rnacentral:rRNA from 1 species
CCUACGGGAGGCUGCAGUGAGGAAUAUUGGUCAAUGGCCGGGAGUCUGAACCAGCCAAGUCGCGUGAGGGAAGACGGCCCUACGGGUUGUAAACCUCUUUUGUCAGGGAGCAAGGUGCAGGUCGGGACCUGCUGUGGAAGUACCUGAAGAAAAAGCAUCGGCUAACUCCGUGCCUGCAGCCGCGGUAAUACGGAGGAUGCGAGCGUUUUCCGGAUUUCUUGGGUUUAAAGGGUGCGCAGGCGGGAGAACAAGUCAGCGGUAAAAUCGCGGGGCUCAACCCCGCUCCGCCGUUGAAAAUGUGUCGCUUGAGUGCGCGAGUGGGAGGCGGAAGGCGUGGUGUAGCGGUGAAAUGCAUAGAUAUCACGCAGAACGCCGAGCGCGAAGGCAGCCUACCGGCGCGCAACUGACGCUGAUGCACGAAAGCGUGGGUAUCGAACAGGAUUAGAUACCCGAGUAGUC